rnacentral:misc_RNA from 1 species
GCUUUGUCAGACUCUGGAGCCAAACGGAUGUGACAGAGUCUAGGGUCUAAAAAUUUAAGGAAUAGGUGGAAUUUCCUGAAGGAUUUAGGAAGCAUUAUGCAGAAAUUCCUAACCUGACACAGUUUUUUGAAUGGAUAUUGAUUUUAGUGUAUUUGAGGAAGCGCUACUGACUGAUUAAGGUGUUGUAUUAGAAGAGGACCACAUGGUUUUGUAAACAAAACACUUUAAUCCUAGUUGGAGUGGCUACAAAAAGGCGGACCAUUGAUAAAAUACGGAGUUUUUUUCCUGAUAAUCUGACAUUCCAAUACAUGGAUUGCUGACUUGUGUUAAAGUCUUGGGAGAACCUCAUGAAAACGGAGAAAAAUUUUGUACCAUGAGGAACUCGCGGAAUUCUGUGAAAUUCAAACUGGAGAGCGGGCAGUGGAUAGUACUAUGUCUGGUAGUCCUUGGAUUUUGUGAAGUCCAUUCUUUGGAUUUAGGACAAUGUCAGACUGCCCUGGGUAUGGAGAGUGGGGCUAUCCCUGAUGAUGCGAUCACCGCCAGCUCCUCCUACAAAGAAGGCUCAGUGGGACCCGAGAGUGCAAGAAUACGAAAGGAGUGGCAGGGCGGAGCGUGGUGCCCCAAAAAUAUCCUGAAUAAGAAUUCCUACGAAUAUCUCCAGAUCGAUCUUACAUGAAAUACGGGGACCUGAACCAGUUUCUGUUGGACCACGUCCCAGAGAGUCCUGUAGCCAUGGCCACCAAUGCCAAAACUCUCAGUUAUGGCUGUCUGGUUUACAUGGCUUCCCAGAUUGCAUCAGGAAUGAAAUACUUGGAGUCGUUAAAUAUGGUACACCGUGAUCUUGCCACUAGGAACUGUUUGGUCGGGACAAACUACACAAUAAAGAUAUCGGACUUUGGAAUGAGUCGAAGUCUGUACAGCGCGGACUACUACCGGAUAGAGGGGCGGGCUGUUCUACCAAUCAGAUGGAUGGCCUGGGAAAGCAUCUUACUGGGGAAAUUCACCACAAAGUCUGAUGUCUGGUCAUUUGCUGUGACACUGUGGGAGAUUCUGACAUUCGCCAAGGACCAACCGUUCGACACUCUGACAGACGAACAAGUGAUAGAGAAUGCUGGACAUUAUUAUCGCAACGACAACAAGGAGGUCUACCUCUCCCUACCUCCCAACUGUCCCAAGGAAAUCUACGACCUGAUGGUCGAGUGUUGGAACAGAAACGAGGCGUGUCGACCCACAUUCCGCGAAGUCCACAUGUUCCUUCAGAGGAAGAACAUGGGGUACAACCCAAAGGAUGAAAAGAUGAACCAAAUUAAGGUCCCGAUAUGCUGACUAUAUAGCAAUUACAGACAAUUACAAUGAGAUGUGGUUCUGGAGAGAUCGCCUCAAUGUUCAGCAGUCUCUCAUUUUAAAUGUGUGCUUAAACUGUUCUAAGUGCUAAACUUGUGAUGUGUUGGAUAGAGGGACAAAAUGUCCCAUCACGUUGAAUGCUAGUCAUGAUUUAUUCAUUUUAUAAUGAAACGUAAAAAUGAUGCUGGUGAACUGGACUCCAUAUUAUCUUGGUGGGGUUGUUUGAAUGUGGACUCUGAGCAGCGAUUGGCUGCCCAUGCUAAGAAAAUGUAACAAAAACUAUAUCAGACAACAGGUGCUACCAGAACGUUGUGACAUGUUGCCAUAGAAACUGAGUGAGGAUUUACUCACUAACUUGAACAUUCUUUGAAUGAAAUCCUUUAGUUAAUGGACAUAAAUGUAUUUUGUGAUUUUCUUCUCUCUAUUUCUUUUUUUUUUAUUACAAUCAUCAACAAAUUCAACAAUCUGAUUAUGUGCAAUGACUAAUUUAGAAUGAUUUUGUUAUAUGAGAUUUUUCAUGUGAUUUUACAUUUUCAUUAUGUUUCAUUUUAUCAGUGUAGAUUUCAUUGGGUGUACCAUGAGUACAUUCAGUCUCUCGCUUGUGCUGUGUAUUGUUGUAAUGACGAUGCCAGCCAUUGACCUCUAGACUGGGAUGAAGUACACUAGUAUUUGACCCCAUCAUGUCUACCAGAUGUAAUUGUAUCUUCCAUUCAAUACAGUUGAUAUUAAUGAUUGCAUCAUAUAAAAUGCUCUUUUUGUAAUUUUUUGUACACUAUGAUUUUGAGUAAUCAAAUUGCCCUACCGUACAAGGUCCAAGACGACUGGCUCUGUUACUGACCAUCAUGUUUUCACUGAUUGGAUAGAGAGACUUUGUCAGUGUUGCCAUGGAUUCUGAAGGAGAUUGUUAUGGAUCUGUGAUGGUGUUCUUGUUAAAAACAACUGAAAGUUCUACUGACUACUUUUUCUACAAUUUUUCCACAUUUCAUGUUGUAUAUUCUCAUCAUGAACUUGUCAUGACCCCUGUUCAAUAUUUUUCAGUUCCAAUAAUGAAUUAGAACUGCUUUAGGAAUUACCUGGUGAAAGCUUUAAGUAACCUUAUAAAUCAAUGUUUCAGAAAUUACGUUAACUUUGCAUUCAUACAUUCUAUAUAGCUGGCGUGAUAAAAAUGUUGAAUUUCAUAGAGUUUAAGAAAAACAACUGUUUCACCCGUUUAUAAUAUGCUCGUGUGAUGGGGAAUUACCCCCCUUGGCAUUUGCCAGUUAUUUCCCUUUUCAUUGGCUAAAUAUUAUAUAGUUAUCCCUUGCCAUCAGUAUUUUAUAAUUCACAAAAAUUUUCUACGCAAAAAGCAUUACUCAUUUUUAUAAUGUUGUUAAAAUUAGAUAUAUAGUAUCAUAUAUAAUUUCUGACAAUCGUCGCAGCUUUCACACAUCUGCUUACUAUGACACAGCUAAACUGUUUCUUAUGUCACAAUUUUAUUUCCUUCAAAACUCUUUUCAAUGACGUUUUAAAAAUCAACAUAUCCGACAUGUUGAACGAAAUAUCUUGCAGAGAUUCGAUCUUGGUUGUGAUUUAAAUUGCCCCCCUUAUUAGUGAUGUUGUCAUUAGAACCUAAAAUCAACCUUUGUGGGGCUUUAUUUUUAUAUGGCUACUGUUGUUGUCCGUGUGUUCUUGUGUGGGUGUGACAGGAGAGGAAUACCUCGCUCUGUCUCCCUCCCUCAUGUGCUAUAGUCAUGAAUGUCAAUUUCAUUUUUCUAGAUUUUCUUGAAUUUUAAAGCUCAGAAGAUGACGGUUAUUUUUAAUUACAAGUUGCCGACUCGUAUAUGGAACCAGGCAUUUUGAAUGAUUUUUAGAUAUUUAAUCCUUGAAGCAUUUUGCGUUGCAUUGCAUUUCAAAGUCAUGUAUUUUGUAGUCGCUUUUUCACACCCUAAAGCGAAUGGUGCUGUAAUCUAAUUUAUCUAAUGCUUCAAUGGUACCUUUGUUUUUGUUAUUUAUAUUUUAUCUUUUUCUUAUGUAUACCUGUAUGUGGUGUAAAUAUGAACUGUAUGUAUUUUGUUUAGGCAGGAUACAGACGGCACCAGUUUUUAAAGAGUGACCAGUUUAAUUUUUAACAUGACUGCCCUAAUUUGGUCGCUAAUGCAUUUCAUUUUGUCAUUCCAUUCGGAGCUGUCGUCAUUGUUAUUCAAUCUUUAUGUGCGAUGUACAUGAAUGCAUUUGUUAAAGAAGUAGUUUGUAUUGUAUGUAAAUAAAACUACAAAAA